GACGAACCGUGCGAACGUUAUUCGGAAUCAUUGGGCUUAAAGGGCGCGUAGGCGGCCUGUUAAGUCGAACGUGAAAUCCCUGGGCUCAACCCAGGAACUGCGUCCGAUACUGGCAGGCUUGAAUCCGGGAGAGGGAUGUGGAAUUCCAGGUGUAGCGGUGAAAUGCGUAGAUAUCUGGAGGAACACCGGUGGCGAAGGCGGCAUCCUGGACCGGUAUUGACGCUGAGGCGCGAAAGCCAGGGGAGCAAACGGG
rnacentral:rRNA from 1 species